rnacentral:rRNA from 1 species
GCACGUGAAACCCCGUGGGAAUCCGGGAGGACCAUCUUCCAAGGCUAAGUACGAAUCAGCGACCGAUAGUGAACCAGUACCGUGAGGGAAAGGUGAAAAGAACCCCUGUCAGGGGAGUGAAAGAGAAUCUGAAACCUGUUGCUUACAAGCUGUGGGAGCCACAUUACGGUGGUGACCACGUGCCUUUUGCAUAAUGAGUCAGCGAGUUAAUCUGUCGUGCGAGGUUAAGCGAAAGCGGAGCCGAAGCGAAAGCGAGUCUGAUAAGGGCGGCAAGUACGGCGGAUUAGACCCGAAACCGGGUGAUCUAUCCAUGAGCAGGUUGAAGCAAGGGUAAAGCCUUGUGGAGGACCGAACCAGUAUCGGCUGAAAACGAUUUGGAUGACUUGUGGCUAGGGGUGAAAGGCCAAUCAAACCCGGUGAUAGCUGGUUCUCCCCGAAAUAUAUUGAGGUAUAGCCUCGGGGAUUGUCUGUCGGAGGUAAAGCACUGACAAGGCUAGGGGUCCUACCAGAUUACCAAACCUUUUCAAACUCAGAAUGCCGAACAGAUGUACCCCGGGAGUCAGACGGCGGGUGCUAAGGUCCGUCGUCGAGAGGGUAAGAGUCCAGAUCGACAGCGAAGGUCUCCAAAUCCAUGCUCAGUGGUGAAGGUAGUGGAACCGUGUAGACAGCCAGGACGUUGGCUUAGAAGCAGCCAUCGUUUAAAGAAAGCGUAAUAGCUCACUGGUCUAAUGACUCUGCGCCGAAAAUGUAACGGGGCUAAGCAUGGUACCGAAGCUUCGGAUUCCCCGUAAGGGGUCUGGUAGGGGAGCGUUCUCUUCGGGCAGAAGCGACAUUGCAAAGUGCCGUGGACUGGAGAGAAGUGAUUAUGCUGACAUGAGUAACGAUAAAACGGGUGAAAAACCCGUUCGCCGGAAGACCAAGGGUUCCUGUCCAACGUUAAUCGGGGCAGGGUGAGUCGGCCCCUAAGGCGAGGCUGAAAAGCGUAGUCGAUGGGAAACGGGUUAAUAUUCCCGUACUUGGAUAAACUGCGAUGUGGGGACGGAGCAGGUUAGGUUAUCGCACUGUUGGAUAUGUGCGUUUAAGUUGGUAGGUGAGAAGUUUAGGCAAAUCCGGACUUCUAUCACACCGAGAGAUGAUGACGAGGCUCUACGGAGCUGAAGUAACCGAUACCACACUUCCAGGAAAAGCCACUAAGCUUCAGGUUUAUCUAAACCGUACUGAAAACCGACACAGGUGGUCAGGUAGAGAAUACUCAGGCGCUUGAGAGAACUCGGGUGAAGGAACUAGGCAAAAUAGCACCGUAACUUCGGGAGAAGGUGCGCCGGCGUAGAUUGUAGUCCCUAGCGGGCGAAGGUUGAACCGGUCGAAGAUACCAGCUGGCUGCAACUGUUUAUUAAAAACACAGCACUCUGCAAACACGAAAGUGGACGUAUAGGGUGUGACGCCUGCCCGGUGCCGGAAGGUUAAUUGAUGGGGUUAGCUAACGCGAAGCUCUUGAUCGAAGCCCCGGUAAACGGCGGCCGUAACUAUAACGGUCCUAAGGUAGCGAAAUUCCUUGUCGGGUAAGUUCCGACCUGCACGAAUGGCGUAACGAUGGCGGCGCUGUCUCCACCCGAGACUCAGUGAAAUUGAAAUCGCUGUGAAGAUGC